rnacentral:rRNA from 1 species
AGCAGCCGCGGUAAUUCCAGCUCCAAUAGCGUAUAUUAAAGUUGUUGCAGUUAAAAAGCUCGUAGUUGAAUUUCGAGACCGGUUUAUUGGUCGUGCUUUUGUACGUACUGGUAUUAUUGGUUUCUCCUUUCUGACGAAUCUUAAUGCCAUUAAUUUGGUGUUUUGGGGAAUCAGGACUGUUACUUUGAAAAAAUUAGAGUGUUUAAAGCAGGCUCACGCUUGAAUACAUUAGCAUGGAAUAACGGAAUAGGACGUUUGAUUCUAUUUUGUUGGUUCCUAGGAUCGACGUAAUGAUUAAUAGGGAUAGUUGGGGGCAUUAGUAUUCAAUUGUCAGAGGUGAAAUUCUUGGAUUUAUUGAAGACUAACUACUGCGAAAGCAUUUGCCAAGGAUGUUUUCAUUAAUCAAGAACGAAAGUUAGGGGAUCGAAGAUGAUCAGAUACCGUCGUAGCCUUAACCAUAAACUAUGCCGACUAGGGAUCGGAUGAUGUAAUUUUUAAUGACUCAUUCGGCGCCUUACGG